CCCUUAGAUGUUCUGGGCCGCACGCGCGCUACACUGAUGCAUUCAACAAGCCUAGCCUUGACCGAGAGGUCCGGGUAAUCUUUGAAACUGCAUCGUGAUGGGGCUAGAUUAUUGCAAUUAUUAAUCUUCAACGAGGAAUGCCUAGUAAGCGUGAUUCAUCAAAUCGCGUUGAUUACGUCCCUGCCCUUUGUACACACCGCCCGUCGCUCCUACCGAUUGAAUGUGUUGGUGAGGAGCUCGGAUUGGCAGCAGGUGGUGGUUCGCCACCGGCUAUUGCUGAGAAGUCCUCCAAACCGCCCCAUUUAGAGGAAGGAGAAGUCGUAACA
rnacentral:rRNA from 1 species